rnacentral:rRNA from 1 species
AGUGAACGCUGGCGGUAGGCCUAACACAUGCAAGUCGAACGGCAGCACAGUAAGAGCUUGCUCUUACGGGUGGCGAGUGGCGGACGGGUGAGGAAUACAUCGGAAUCUACUUUUUCGUGGGGGAUAACGUAGGGAAACUUACGCUAAUACCGCAUACGACCUACGGGUGAAAGCAGGGGAUCUUCGGACCUUGUGCGAUUGAAUGAGCCGAUGUCGGAUUAGCUAGUUGGCGGGGUAAAGGCCCACCAAGGCGACGAUCCGUAGCUGGUCUGAGAGGAUGAUCAGCCACACUGGAACUGAGACACGGUCCAGACUCCUACGGGAGGCAGCAGUGGGGAAUAUGGGACAAUGGGCGCAAGCCUGAUCCAGCAUACCGCGUGGGUGAAGAAGGCCUUCGGGUUGUAAAGCCCUUUUGUUGGGAAAGAAAAGCAGCAGGUUAAUACCCCGCUGUUCUGACGGUACCCAAAGAAUAAGCACCGGCUAACUUCGUG